UACGUAGGGUGCGAGCGUUAAUCGGAAUUACUGGGCGUAAAGCGCGUGUAGGCGGUCUAGCAAGUCGGAUGUGAAAGCCCUUGGCUCAACUGAGGAAGUGCAUUCGAAACUGCAAGACUUGAGUCCCGGAGAGGAUGGUGGAAUUCUCGGUGUGGAGGUGAAAUUCGUAGAUAUCGGGAGGAACACCGGUGGCGAAGGCGGCCAUCUGGACGGUGACUGACGCUGAGACGCGAAAGCAUGGGGAGCAAACAGGAUUAGAAACCCGGGUAGU
rnacentral:rRNA from 1 species